GAAGAUGAAAGUUCAGUAAGUGUGGCACUGAGUGUAUUUGACAAGCUGAGUCCGACACUCAAUGAGACAGAGUGUCAGUUUGUCAAAUACCCCAAGUGAGGCACCAUCUCUCUGCUGGAACAACU
rnacentral:pre_miRNA from 14 species